GGGAGCACUAGGGGCCCAGCGAGAAGAUGCAUCGGCGCCUCUAUAAAGGGGUCCCUCCCCAGGUGAGGGGGUCAGGUGUGGGCCCUCCUGCUCCAUAUUGAGAAGGUGAAGUCCACCCACCAGGGGCUCUACGAGACAAUGAAGGAGCGGGCCCAACUAUCCUGCAAAGACGUCAGACAAAUCGACCUGGACGUGAACCGGACCUACAGGAACCACAUCAUGCUCCGGGACCGCUAUGGCGUCGGGAGGUGCGCUACUGUCAGAGGAUGAGCGACAUCGUGGGACUCCUCCUG